ACUGCUGGAUAUCCACGUGAUGUUGCUGUGUGCAGAUUGGCAGGAAACACCUUUUAAGCUUGGGAGAUGCCGCAGGUUCAGCAUUGGUGCAGAUGGGCUGAUCCAUGGCUGGUGAGGACUGCAAGGAGCAGCAGCCGUAGCCUGCAGCUGAGAUGGUGCACAGGAGGGGGACGAGGGGAGGUGAUGCUUGCCAGAUGCCCACACAGCAGCUUAGGGCUACAGCCAGGAAUGGGACUUGUGUUUCCUUUCCCAGAGCACCGACUGCCCCGCUAAUGGAGCAGCAAGUGGCUUACAGCGACAGAGGUGCCCGAGUCCUGUCAGAAAAGCAGGAGUAGCUGAGGAAAAGUCCUCCCUCCCCAGGCUGCCGAGAUGGUAUGUGUCCUUCCAAAUAACAAAGUCUCCUCUCUCCUUUCUCCUCAGCUUCUGCCUCUCCUAGCCUCAGGGGGACUCCAGAGGUGGCCCCCGGUGGCAUACAGCACCAGGGAAGAGAGCGCUGCAAGACCUGUUGGGCAGUACCUGGUACCCAAUAAGAAGGACAUGCCGUAUGACAUUGUGGACCUUACGGAGGAAAUAGGAAUGAAGUGGCAGAACAGUAGGCUUAAUGCAGAACUGUGUAUAAGGGGAAAAAGAGGGAACUGGACAAGAGUUUCCUUCCUUGCUGUUGCGGAGAAGGAAUGCCACACAGUCCUUCCUGAUGGCUAAAACACUCCACCAGCCACAGCUCUGUGCAGACUUCUCUCUUCCAAGAGCUUCCUCUCAGACUGGAUUUCUGCCCAGUGUGUUGAAAGCCAUGUCUCACUGACCUGUUGAAUUCAGAGCUCUUUUUGCUUAAUACAACGCAUUAUGAACAAAGACACAGGUCACUGUGAACUGGAAACUGGUUGACCUGAGUGACCGGGACCUGGCAAUGCUGGAGUUUGCUCUUGCAGUCUGUCAAGCUGAUAACAUCACUGAAGAGCAUUUCCAGAAGCUGGAGAGGCAUGGUUUUGACCAUGAAGAUGCCUGGGACAUAGGCAUGAUUUCUGCUUUUUUUGCUAUGUCUAACUGUAUAGCUCAUUAUAUUGACCUACGCCCAAACACGGAAUUCUGCGCUGUGGGCAGGAUGUCCUGUGGAGAGAAGGAAAAGGAAGAAGCUGAGUGUGCCUGACAUGGCUCUCCAAUGCCUACGUAUCUGAAAGACUGAUCAAGCUCUUAAUUCUCAAGCUAGAGUGGCUUAUUUCUCAGUAUGUAAAAGGACUAAAAAGCUAAUACCAGAUUGUAGCCAUGAGGGAUGGUGGGCUUCCCUCUUCCUCAGCGUUUGAGCCGACUCUAGCGCUUCUGCGCUCCUGGCACAGCUGGAAGAGCAUAGCUUUGGUUUCGGCACUGGCCGCACAGGUAACAAGCGGGCUGGGUCACGAGGUGACUUAAAACAAGCUGUUCCAUGGCACUGUGCCAGCUCUGCGGUGUGAGACCUAAUACACGUCAUUACGGCC